rnacentral:lncRNA from 1 species
AUCUCAACCCAACAGAAGCCAAGAUCUCGGGCAAAUCGGAUGGCUCACACACCUGCGAGAGCUUUUGCCGAUAAGGUACAUGGUAUGUUUUCUUCCCAGAAACAAGCUGACCCUAAUAACAGCCCUUCAGAAUUUCUAAUAACUAUCCCUGUGCUGGCAGCCUGCAAAUCGGCGAAGAACCCUGCAUCAAAGUUUACGCGAGCCCAUGGGUCUACAGGGGUCUUCCAGAGCGACGAGCCAACAGUCACAAUAUCCUCUCUAGGAAUCGAGAGGGAAUCCAGCUCCCGCAGAUAACCCAGAAUAGAGAAAAGUAUUGAUCGAGUAGGCAGGUAAACGCCCUCAUGAAUUAGCUUGUUUCUGGAAGUCUAGAGAGUCCAGAUAGUGAUAAUGGAGAGUUUUAUAUGCUUCGUAGUAGUAGCGAAUAUUUGACUAAUCCAUUGAAUGCUUCAGAUUCCGGAACUGUGUGCUAAUAGAAACCCAAGCCGUGCCAAACCUCCUGGACCACUGGACAGUCCCGACAGACAUGCAGAAUGGUCUCAAGCCCACUACCAUAGCGUGGGCACAUACGAUCAACCCCGAUUCUCCGGCGAAACAGAUUAUCCUUUGUAGGGAGAAAAUUACUUAUGUAUCUCCAACAUGUAACUUUCAUUUUUUCAGGCACUUGAGCCCCCCAUAGUUGUUUGUAAAGAUUUUGUGUAUGCGGCGUAACACCACUGUAACGAUCACCUUCCCCCCAAAAAACCACGCAAUAGUAAUCUGUAUCCGCUACGGACAGAAUAAUCUCCAGUGCUAUCUGGGAACCAUCUCCAUCGUUCCGAUAAAUCAUGAGAUGCCAACGGGAUACGUCGAAUAAGGUUAACAAUCGGGUAAGGAAAAACAGUCCCUAACAAGCCAACAUUCCACUCGCCCCUAUCUAUGUUAAUCAAAUUUGUCACCCUGUCAAUCCCAGUAACCCUAUCCAUCUGUAUUUUUCGGGGCCGUUCACCAAGGAGCCAAGCAUCAUCCCAUACGAAAUCGAUUGCCCAAUACCAACCUGCCAACCACAGCCCAUCUGCAGCAGACCCUUGGCGGCCUAAAUGCUUCGCCACACAAAGAAAGGUUGAUUCCCUAACUCUUAACUCCAUAAAAUUGCUAUGCGGAAAAUAUUUAGCUUUAAGUACUCUGGCCGUUAAAGUAUUCGGAGUUGUCAAUAGACGCCAACCCUGUUUGGCAAGUAAAGCAAUAUUCAACUUUGACGAGCUAUGAAAUCCCAACCGACCAGCCUCUUCCAAAUCGCAUAACCCCGCCCAAGAGCACCAAUGGAUCCCUCUCCUCGUGGCUGACUUAUAAAGCUAUUUUUAUAAAGCUCAACUUUAUAUAUAUUAUAUAGUUUUUUUUUUUGUAAAAGAAGAUAGGAAAAAAAAAUAGAAUCACUUUAGUGUAUAUUUUUCUUAGUCAAUGGUUUGGCAAUUCGGGAGA